AGGAUAAUAGCUUAAUAGGCAAAGCGUACCGCUCAUAACGGUAAAGAUAUUGGUUCGAUUCCAGUUUAUCCUA